rnacentral:rRNA from 1 species
AUGGAGAGAGAAAAAGAGGGGAAUGUGGAGGAGAGGGACGACAUGGAGGAGGGAGAUCUGGAGGACGACUGGACGAGCAACGAGACAGAUGAAAAGAACCUACGUGUCCCACCGGCGGUGGAGUUUGACGCCGUGGCCAGCAACACUGCUGCCGGACCUGCUGCUCUCGGCCUUGCCCCGCAGCCGGACCUGGGCUCGGAGUGGCUGAAGGUCGCCGCGGUGCACCUCGCCCCAGGCCGCGAGCCAAUUUCUACUGCCAUCAAUGAGGCUCCUGCAGCUGGUAAUGACGUUGACAACAAGGUUGACCUUUUUGGAACUAAAGAAGAGUUGAAGGCAACUGGAUACUUUCCUGUAUUCUUCCUGGUGUACUGUGUUGGUAGUUGGCUCCUUUCUGUUCUCUUCUUUCGCCAUCGUACCCAUCUUGCUGAUCUGAUGUGUACCUAUCAAUUUGAUGAAGUGUUGCCGUCUUAUUUUCUUGACGGCGUGGUGUCUCGACUCGUGAUGGAUUCACUCACAGGGAGGAAGCUUUUCUCCCCUACUUCGGCGACAAGCCCACAAGCUUUUGGGCCCAUGGCGCCACCAGUAAACAAGUUUAUUGCAAGCUAUACCAUCUUGAUGCAUAAUUGCAGAUUGUGUUCUUGC